AAGUCGUAACAAGGUUUCCGUAGGUGAACCUGCGGAAGGAUCAUUAACACGUAUCCACGUAUCAACAACUCUGUGAACUCAAUCUCCCCGACAUUGGACAAGCUGUCCGCUUGGUUAGUGAUGGGUAUGCAGCCUCAAAACUGCAUGCAAUCGAGCGGACUUGGGCUUCGAGCCCGGUGCUAUCCAGUGAAGGGCUAACACUCUCCAUUGCUACAAACACACCAUUUUCACCUUUAAACUCAUCUUGACUGAUGUACUUAUGUAAGAGAAAUCUGGCAUGAGUCUUUAUCUAAACUAAGCACAACUCUUAGCAAUGGAUAUCUUGGUUCUC
rnacentral:misc_RNA from 1 species